GUCUCGGUUCAGAGCGGGGACCCGGCUGCGACCGCCCACAGGCUAGGCCGGAGGGGGCUGAUGCCGGGGCAUUCCGGCUCCCCUCCGUGAUUUUUCUUGUUAUCUCGGACUGGAGAAGUUUGUCCACCUGAGAAUCAGCUCAGGACCAACCCCUGCUCAAUACAGAAGUUUCCCGAAACAUGCGACCUACACACUUAGUCCACCGAAUGCCUUUCGAUCGUUUGUGUUUCUUCCUCAAGGUUUCUCUGUAUAACAGCUCUGGCUGUCCUGAAAUGCACUACACAGACCAAGCUAGCCUCGAACUCAGUGAUCUGCCCGCGUCUGCCUCCCAGGUGCUGAGACUUACUAAAGGGAAGUUAAGGAUCCAGCUUGGUCUGAACAGAAGCACCUAAGGAAAAGACCCUGCAUGGGCUGUUGGCUAGAAGCACCUAAGGACACGAC
rnacentral:lncRNA from 1 species